AAAGUCUGGCAUCUGUGUUUUCGCCCACUAAGGUUUUCUGAAUCUAAAUGAAAUUACUGAUGAGUAUGAACUCACCUGAAUAUUGUUCAUCCUUGAAGCUGCUCCCUCGCCAGAAGGACCUGUAGUUGACAACUGAGAUUAUGCUGUAUUAUGUUGUCAUGGAGAUCGGAAUUAUGAUAUCUUUCAGGCAGAGGGUUCACAAUCCAAGCAAGGCCCUGAGUUGCCCCUUUUAAUCCCAACUUGUUACACUGGUGAUAUGGGAUCCAAUGAUGUGCAACAAAAGGAAAAAAAAUAGCUCUGCAAACAAGCUUUGCAACUCGGUUAUCUGAAUCCCUGAAAAAUAAGCUGUGCAACUGUGCAAGCUGAUGGGUGGAUUCGGCACA